GGUUUCCUGGUGCCCGCAAGGCCUCAGCGUCCAGAGCAGCCCUUGGCACGCUCGUGGCAGGAGGAUCACCUCGACUGUGCUGUUCUCAGAUUACAGCGGGUGUCCUUUUGCUUCUGUAUUUUCUUGCACAGUCCGUAGAGUCGUGCAAGUGUCCUGUUGCUCCCCUUUUUCCUUGCACAGUCUGGGGACUUGUGCAAGAGGGGGGUUUUUUCUAUUUUUUUUCCUGGCCUACGGACUCGAGCAGCACUGCUCAAACCAUGGAGCGAGUCCGUAGAGCAGUCAGCAGCGCCUUUUCAUUGGCGGCUUCUCGGAAAGCUUUUCAUCGUUUGACUGGUCGCCUCAGACGUGGAAGGAAUCGAGUGCACGUUUUGGUCCCUCAAGGAGAGGUCCUCGCCAGUCAGGACUCCUCGGUCCAGGCAGGAAAGGCGGAGCGGCAGGAGAGCACGGAUAGAGUGCGCGGCGCUCAGGAGUUCAGGUGGAAGCAGUUGUCUGCAUUUGAGGGAAAGCACCACUCCUCACUAGAGAGGGCGUUUGAAGUGGCGGCACAGACAGCGGAGGAAUCACAGCCUCAGAGGGAUCUGCUGAAGGAAGCAGUUCCUCUGGCAGCGCCAAAGGUUUGCCGCCCGCAGCGGCCAGCCCACAGGGGUCUGGAGAAGCUGCUCCAGGAGUUCUCUCGCCAAGGGCACGCACUGUCCCAGGUGUGCAGAGAGAAGGCGGUGCUGGCGCAAGAGAACGCUGCCCUGGAAGCCCGACUGGCAGCCACGGAGCGGGACCUACGAGGCGUUUCAGAGCAGCUGGCAGAGGCCAGGUCAGAGAAGGAGAGGCUGCAAAGCAGCCUGCUGGAGGCUCAGCAGCACGUAUCAGAGCUGGAGAUAGCCAGGAGCCGUGUGGAAGCCCAAGUGCGCACAGCCACGCAGGCCAAGGAGGCGAUACUGGAGGAUGUGAGGGGCCUUCAUCGUGAGCUGCUGGCUGUAAGAUCUCUCAGCAAGCAGCAAUGUGAAGACAUGGCUCAACAGCUCCGCUGGGCAGAAGAGCAGUGCAGCAAGGCUGUGAGACUCUGGCAAUCUGCUGAGAAAGCGAAGGAAAGAAAGAUCAUGCAAAAACUGGCGAGACAACAGCUGGAACUACAGAGGUUGGAGGCGCAGAAGAAGAUGGAGCAGCUGGAAAAAGCCCUGACAGAGCUCCAGUGCCAGAAUGCUGCUCUGUGUGAUAACAUGUGCCAGCUGAGGCAGGAGCUGAACAAGCUGAAGAAAGGGCAGAAUAUCAAGCUGCAGGCAGAGCUGCAGGACGCUCAGAGGAAGAUGAAGGCCAUGGAGAAGAGGCACAAAGAAGAAAUGGAAAGGAUGCAUAAGGUCCUGCUGCAGUACAGCCCAGCUGAAGAAAAGCAGAUGGACGCAGGAUCUGCCAUCAAAGCUGCCGCUGCAGCAGCAUCCUCCGAAGAAGCCUCCUCUCCGCAGCCCGAAAACCCGAGCGUGAGCAGUUCGGCCCUCUCAAGCCGGGAGAAAGAGAAGCAGUUCCUGAAGCUGCUGAGGCGUGAGGUGAGUGUGGGAGAUCCAGAGAAGAAGUACACUGGAUGGAGACCUAUUGGCAGUGGGGGGUUUGGAACCGUUUAUAAGGCCUUCAACGCUGCCACAGGACAAGCGGUGGCCAUAAAGCAAAUUAAUCUCCAGUGCCAGGGCUGCGAGGAUGUGUUGAAGGAAAUCCUGGUCAUGAAAGAAUAUAAGAACCCGAAUAUUGUCACCUACCUAGAAAGCUACCUUGUCAAUGAGGAUGUCCUGGUGGUGUUGGAGUAUAUGGAUGGAGGCUCCUUAGCUGAUGUGGUCAGCAUGAAAAGGAUGGCUGUAGGACACAUAGCAACAGUGUGUCGGGAGUGCCUGCAAGGCCUGGCUUUCCUUCAUGCCAACCAGGUGAUCCACAGAGACAUCAAAAGUGACAACAUCCUUCUGGGCCAGGAUGGCUCCGUCAAGCUGGCCGAUUUUGGCCUCUGUGCUCCACUCAGCCCUGAGCAGAGUAAACGGAGGUCGAUGGUCGGGACCACUUGCUGGAUGGCACCCGAGGUGGUGAGAAGAGAGCCAUACGGCCCCAAAGUGGACAUCUGGUCCCUUGGCAUCGUGGGAAUAGAAAUGGCCAAAGGAGAGGCUCCUUAUAUUCGGGAACCCAGUGAGAGGGCUAACUACCUGAUAGGCAAGCAAGGCGUACCAGACCUGCACAAGCUCAGGCUGCCCUCUGGCUUGUGUGAAUUUCUGGGCUGCUGCCUGCAGAUGGAUGUGGACAGGCGAGGCUCUGCCAAGGAACUUCUGCAGCAUCCAUUUCUCCAGUCAGCGGAGCCUCUCUUAAGCCUCUUCUGACAGCCUGAUCGCUGUCAUCCCUGCAGCCAAGUCAUGCAGGAAGCAAAGGAGACGACAAGGACCACUUCAGCACCUGGAGAACUGAACCUGUGAGAACAGAUCACAUGGGCCCCUGCCAUCUAAAUCCCAACUCUAAGGGCUUUUCAAAUGAAAAGGAAGGAAACUUGCAGCGAAGCAAUCGAGGAAGCAGAAGAGAUGACCAGGACCACUUCAGGAUUACUUCCUCCAAAGGCAGCUUGGAGCUGGACUCACAAUAAAAGUCCUAUACACCCCCAA